rnacentral:rRNA from 1 species
ACACGCUUGGAGUGAAGAUGGUUUUCGGAUCGUAAACUUCUGUCUUGGUGAGAAAGAAAUGAUCGUAGCCAAGGAGGAGCCCUGGCUAACUACGUGCCAGCAGCCGCGGUAAUACGUAGGGGGCGAGCGUUGUCCGGGAUUUACUGGGCGUAAAGGGUGAGUAGGCGGUAAUAUGUGUCAGAUGUAAAAGGCUAAGGCUUAACCAUAGUUAGCAUUUGAAACUGUAUUACUUGAGUGCAGGAGAGGUAAGCGGAAUUCCUAGUGUAGCGGUGAAAUGCGUAGAUAUUAGGAGGAACACCAGUGGCGAAGGCGGCUUACUGGACUGUAACUGACGCUGAGUCACGAAAGCGUGGGUAGCAAACAGGAUUAGAUACCCUGGUAGUCCACGCUGUAAACGAUGGGUGCUAGGUGUUGGGUAGCGAUAUUCAGUGCCGAAGUAAACACAAUAAGCACUCCGCCUGGGGAGUACGGUCGCAAGACUGAAACUCAAAGGAAUUGACGGGGACCCGCACAAGCAGCGGAGCAUGUGGUUUAAUUCGAAGCAACGCGAAGAACCUUACCAAGGCUUGACAUCCCCUUGACAGAAGCAGAGAUGUUUCCUGCCCUUCGGGGCCAAGGGAGACAGGUGGUGCAUGGUUGUCGUCAGCUCGUGUCGUGAGAUGUUGGGUUAAGUCCCGCAACGAGCGCAACCCUUAUCCUUAGUUGCCAGCAUUUGAGGUGGGCACUCUAAGGAGACUGCCGAUGAUAAAUCGGAGGAAGGUGGGGAUGACGUCAAAUCAUCAUGCCCCUUAUGUCUUGGGCUACACACGUGCUACAAUGGUCGGUACAAAGGGAAGCGAAAGAGUGAUCCGGAGCAAAUCCCAAUAAACCGAUCUCAGUUCGGAUUGUAGGCUGCAACUCGCCUACAUGAAGUCGGAGUUGCUAGUAAUCGCGAAUCAGAACGUCGCGGUGAAUGCGUUCCCGGGUCUUGUACACACCGCCCGUCACACCAUGGAAGUUGGUAAUACCCGAAGUCGCUGAGCUAACCGCAAGGAGGCAGGCGCCGAAGGUAGGAUCAAUGACUGGGGUGAAGUCGUAACAAGGUAACCAAGGGCGAAUCGCGCCGCUAAAG